CGACUAAGCGUACACGGUGGAUGCCCUGGCAGUCAGAGGCGAUGAAGGACGUGCUAAUCUGCGAAAAGCGUCGGUAAGGUGAUAUGAACCGUUACAGCCGGCGAUGUCCGAAUGGGGAAACCCAGUGUGAUUCGUCACACUAUCGUUAACUGAAUACAUAGGUUAACGAGGCGAACCGGGGGAACUGAAACAUCUAAGUACCCCGAGGAAAAGAAAUCAACCGAGAUUCCCCCAGUAGCGGCGAGCGAACGGGGAGCAGCCCAG
rnacentral:rRNA from 1 species